rnacentral:rRNA from 1 species
GAGAUGGAUUGGUGCCUUCGGGAACUGUGAGACAGGUGCUGCAUGGCUGUCGUCAGCUCGUGUUGUGAAAUGUUGGGUUAAGUCCCGCAACGAGCGCAACCCUUAUCCUUUGUUGCCAGCGGUUAGGUCGGGAACUCAAAGGAGACUGCCAGUGAUAAACUGGAGGAAGGUGGGGAUGACGUCAAGUCAUCAUGGCCCUUACGACCAGGGCUACACACGUGCUACAAUGGCGCAUACAAAGAGAAGCGA